UUAAGCUGUGCUCUGAUGUGAAAGCCUUCGGCCGACUCCAGCAUAUGCAGGAAAGCCGGCCGGAGCUCCGGACUGUGUAAAACAAUGUUUGAUCCGAUCCAGUUGAAAAAGAUAUUUUAGUAAAUACCUGAACUCACUCAUUUCUGCAAAGAUUGGCUUCGGCUGGGAGGAAGGACCUUGGCAGAGGCUGCUUCUUCAAGAGGUUUUGCAAAGCUUGAAAGAGGAUCCAGCUUCCAGCCCAGAACCUGGUCAAAGGCGAGCUGCCUUCCCUCCGUGGAGAUGACCAGACGUUGAUGACAAAACGCUUCCGGACAGGAAGAUGGCUUCACCUGGAGUGUGGCGUUAAGACAGAACAGUCUAGAAGUCAGUCUGCCAUCCCUUGGGGAGUCUGCUUGUUAAGGCUGGUGUGCUUUGCCCACAAAAAUUUGAGACACUGUCAUCUGAUCGGGGAACCUGCCUGGCACAAAGGCCCAUCAGACGGCCUGGAAGGGCUCAGAGCCGGGAGGACCUGCUGCCUGCGGUGCCCGGGGCUGUGA
rnacentral:lncRNA from 1 species